rnacentral:rRNA from 1 species
CCUACGGGUGGCUGCAGUGGGGAAUAUUGCACAAUGGGCGCAAGCCUGAUGCAGCCAUGCCGCGUGUGUGAAGAAGGCCUUCGGGUUGUAAAGCACUUUCAGCGGGGAGGAAGGCGGUGAGGUUAAUAACCUCAUCGAUUGACGUUACCCGCAGAAGAAGCACCGGCUAACUCCGUGCCAGCAGCCGCGGUAAUACGGAGGGUGCAAGCGUUAAUCGGAAUUACUGGGCGUAAAGCGCACGCAGGCGGGCUGUCAAGUCGGAUGUGAAAUCCCCGGGCUCAACCUGGGAACUGCAUUCGAAACUGGCAGGAUAGAGUCUUGUAGAGGGGGGUAGAAUUCCAGGUGUAGCGGUGAAAUGCGUAGAGAUCUGGAGGAAUACCGGUGGCGAAGGCGGCCCCCUGGACAAAGACUGACGCUCAGGUGCGAAAGCGUGGGGAGCAAACAGGAUUAGAUACCCCGGUAGUC